UGGGGAAUUUUGGACAAUGGGCGAAAGCCUGAUCCAGCAAUGCCGCGUGUGUGAAGAAGGCCUUCGGGUUGUAAAGCACUUUUGUCCGGAAAGAAAUCCUUGGCUCUAAUACAGUCGGGGGAUGACGGUACCGGAAGAAUAAGCACCGGCUAACUACGUGCCAGCAGCCGCGGUAAUACGUAGGGUGCAAGCGUUAAUCGGAAUUACUGGGCGUAAAGCGUGCGCAGGCGGUUUGCUAAGACCGAUGUGAAAUCCCCGGGCUCAACCUGGGAACUGCAUUGGUGACUGGCAGGCUAGAGUAUGGCAGAGGGGGGUAGAAUUCCACGUGUAGCAGUGAAAUGCGUAGAGAUGUGGAGGAAUACCGAUGGCGAAGGCAGCCCCCUGGGCCAAAUACUGACGCUCAUGCACGAAAG
rnacentral:rRNA from 1 species